UAUAGAGGGGGCAAGCGUUGUUCGGAAUUACUGGGCGUAAAGGGCGCGUAGGCGGCCCGCUAAGUCGAACGUGAAAUCCCCGAGCUCAACUCGGGAACUGCGUCCGAUACUGGCGGGCUUGAAUCCGGGAGAGGGAUGCGGAAUUCCAGGUGUAGCGGUGAAAUGCGUAGAUAUCUGGAGGAACACCGGUGGCGAAGGCGGCAUCCUGGACCGGCAUUGACGCUGAGGCGCGAAAGCUAGGGGAGCAAACGGGG
rnacentral:rRNA from 1 species